AUACUGCUCCCUCCGUUCAAACAAGUUUGUCCCUUAAAUGAAUGUAUCUAGUAUCAAGUUAGUGCUAGAUACAUCCAUUUAAGAAACAAGCUUGGGACAAGUUUUUUCGAAUGAAGGGAGUACGUG
rnacentral:pre_miRNA from 1 species